AAUCAGGGGUUAACCCUAUUUGUGAAAAUCCUGGAUUGUGUGACUAGGAUUACCGGCACCUGGUCAGGAGCACCCGGGGAUUCGGAAUCUCUGCCUUUACGGGACAGCAGGAAAGGGUAAGUCAGUGGCUGAUCAACCAUGAGUUUGAGGAGCAAGAUGAAGAAUGUACAUGUUCAAGCCAUAUCAGACCAAGCGGGUUAAGGGUCUAUCAGUGAUGAACUUUUGAAUUCUAUUUUGCCGUUUAGGUCGGCUAGAAAUAAAUGACUUGUAAUAGCGUUUGUAAAUAUUUUUGGGAUCCCAACUAUUUUAAAAGUUUUAAAUAUAUUACAAGUUUAUUUUCUUUCUGUUUAAUAUAAAAGUUUAAAUUCUGCGCUA